rnacentral:rRNA from 1 species
AGUGAACGCUGGCGGUAGGCCUAACACAUGCAAGUCGAACGGCAGCACAGUAAGAGCUUGCUCUUACGGGUGGCGAGUGGCGGACGGGUGAGGAAUACAUCGGAAUCUACUUUUUCGUGGGGGAUAACGUAGGGAAACUUACGCUAAUACCGCAUACGACCUACGGGUGAAAGCAGGGGAUCUUCGGACCUUGCGCGAUUGAAUGAGCCGAUGUCGGAUUAGCUAGUUGGCGGGGUAAAGGCCCACCAAGGCGACGAUCCGUAGCUGGUCUGAGAGGAUGAUCGGCCACACUGGAACUGAGACACGGUCCAGACUCCUACGGGAGGCAGCAGGGGGAAUAUUGGACAAUGGGCGCAAGCCUGAUCCAGCCAUACCGCGUGGGUGAAGAAGGCCUUCGGGUUGUAAAGCCCUUUUGUUGGGAAAGAAAAGCAGCAGGUUAAUACCCCGCUGUUCUGACGGUACCCAAAGAAUAAGCACCGGCUAACUUCGUG